GCUCAGGACGAACGCUGGCGGCAUGCCUAACACAUGCAAGUCGAACGAGAAAGUUCCUUCGGGAGCAAUUAAAGUGGCGCACGGGUGAGUAACGCGUAGACAAUCUGCCCUUCAGUCUGGGACAACUUUUCGAAAGGAGAGCUAAUACCGGAUAACAAUGCAUGACACAAGUUGUAUAUUUGAAAGCUUUAUGUGCUGAAGGAGGGGUCUGCGUCCCAUUAGCUAGUUGGUAAGGUAAAGGCUUACCAAGGCAACGAUGGGUAGCGGGUUUGAGAGGACGAUCCGCCACACUGGAACUGAGACACGGUCCAGACUCCUACGGGAGGCAGCAGUGGGGAAUAUUGCACAAUGGAGGCAACUCUGAUGCAGCAAUGUCGCGUGAGUGAAGAAGGCCCUUGGGUCGUAAAGCUCUUUUAUGGGGGAAGAUGAUGACGGUACCCCAAGAAUAAGCACCGGCUAACUAUGUGCCAGCAGCCGCGGUAAUACAUAGGGUGCGAGCGUUGUUCGGAAUUACUGGGCGUAAAGGGCGCGCAGGCGGAAUAGUAAGUCGGAGGUGAAAGCCCGGGGCUCAACCCCGGAGGGUCUUUCGAAACUGCUAAUCUAGAGAGGGUCAGGGGCCGGCAGAAUUCCUGGUGUAGAGGUGAAAUUCGUAGAUAUCAGGAGGAAUACCGGUGGCGAAGGCGGCCGGCUGGGGCCACUCUGACGCUGAGGCGCGAAAGCGUGGGGAGCAAACAGGAUUAGAUACCCUGGUAGUCCACGCCGUAAACGAUGAGCACUGGACGUCCGGAGGGUUCGACCCUUCUGGGUGUCUCAGCUAACGCAUUAAGUGCUCCGCCUGGGGAGUACGGUCGCAAGACUAAAACUNA
rnacentral:rRNA from 1 species